GAAAAGUGUCUCAAAAAGUGGUUUUCUACGCGUUUCAUGAAUUUUCAUGAUGAUCUAAGCUAAUUUUACGAAAAAAGUUUUCGGGACCAAUUCCUAUACUUUCCCUUGACACGUUGUGUAUGGAAAAGUAAUAUUGUACUAUAUCACAAAACAACACCUGAUCACAUGAUAACGCAUCCAUUUACUAAUGUAAACUUAAUAGUCGCAGUGUAAAAAACAAAGUGUCACGCCAAAUUUGAAAUUAUUCAAGAGUUAAAUAGAUUAUAGUUCAUAAUACUGGACGCAUUCAUUGUUAGGGAAUCUUGAUACUAAAUAACGUUAAUGAGGAGGGGGAAUUAAUGAUAAAAAAUAUCAUUGAAAUCAUUGUUAAAUUUCGAUAUCUUAUGGAUUUUAAUUGCAUUAUAUUAAUAAAUAUUAUUAACUUUUUAUUUCGUUAAAUAUGUAUGUCAAGGUGAUAGCGGUGGACCACUGCAGGUGAAAGGAAUAGAUGGACAUUACUUCUUGGCUGGAAUUAUAAGCUGGGGAAUUGGUUGUGCCGAAGCUAACUUACCUGGUGUUUGCACCCGAAUAUCGAAGUUUACGCCUUGGAUUUUGAAUAUUGUUAAAUAGAAACAAUUGAUCGUAUUUGAGUUGAAAUUUUUUUAAUAGUAUUAUAUUAAAUGUAAAUAUUUCAAUUGUUGUGAACGUUGGCAAACGAAUAUUUUCUUUGCUGAGAAAUAUGACCAUUUAUCAAUUUUGUUAUUUAAUAGUAUGCUACAAAUUUGCAGGAAGACAUUUAUCGAUAAGAUAGGAAAAUAAUAAUCAUAAGCAAAAUGAUUUUAUAAGAUUUUUUUUGUACAGAAUUGACUCGAGUCACACUUGUUAAUGUGAAUAAAAAUGACCAUUGAAGUAAAUUAUUGAAAUAUUCAAAUAAAUUGACACUUCACUGAAGCCAGUCAGAUGCUAAUCAAUAUAAUAUCCCAAAAAAUGAUCUAAAAUAAUUGUUGAACUCGGACAAACAAUUUACGAGAAAGACAUUUGACCCAUGCUGAUUCUAAUGAUUCAAAUUAAUUUUAUAGAGUAAAUAUUGGAUCCGACACAUUUUUAGGAGACUAUAGUCAAAUCGAAUUAAAUUCAUUUAUUCCAGAAUGAAAUUACGUUGCUUUAAAAACCAUUGUGUAUUGAACCUGCAUCUAUGUUCAAAAUAAAAGGUCAAACUAACUCUCAAAUCAAAAGGUAUAACCAGUGUUUUGUUCUAUAUCCUACUUUUUGAGGGGAAAGCGAGAAAUAUACUGCUUAUUGGAUCGAAACUUCCACCAUAAGUAUUGAAUUUCUUUGCGCAUUUGUGUGUAGUUUCAGUCGUUUUAAACGUCACAAUGGAAGUAAAAAAAGAACAGUAAAAACAAAUCAAUUAGGAUGAUAUAAAAAUGAUCAUGAAUCAAUAUUCAAUAUGCUAAUAAAUUGUGACACUCACCUACAGGAAUUAUCCUGUACUCUAUCCAUAUCAGAUGAAAAACCUCUAGACGAGGUUAAAAUGGAGUGACGCCCCUGUGCGUGGAUUCACCACUCAAAAUGACUGAUAUCAUUUUGAGUGACGCUAGGACGCUGUAUUAUCACUGGGUACGAAGUUCAAAAGUGUUUUUCGCAUUCACUAUUGUGAAAAUUUAUUUACAAUAAGGAGAAAUAUCUUGCGUCACGACUUUUGAAUUUAGUCUCCAAGUCAAGCUUUUAAGCGUUUUGCCGUACAAAAGUCGUGACGCGAUAUUUUUCCUUAUUGUGAGUAAAUUUUCACAAUAGUGAAUGCGAAAAAUACUUUUGA